CACGUGAUCAUCCUCGCGGACAGCGCGGCUGUGCGGGCGGAGAGCUGUCGGAUAUUGAGAAUAAUUGAGACUGGAAUCUCAAAAACAAUUUUCUACAGUCAGAUGAGUCAUCAGGAUCUGAAUACCAUUGGCAUUUAACUGUGGAAGGAGAAAGGAAGGAUGUGGAAGCUUUAAAGACAGUGCAGAGGAGAUUGAACAGGAUGCUGCCUGGACUGGAGAGCAUGCCCAUAG